rnacentral:rRNA from 1 species
UACAGAGGUCUCAACCGUUGUUCGGAUUCAUUGGGCGUAAAGGGUGCGUAGGCGGUCGCGCAAGUCGGAUGUGAAAUCUCAGGGCUCAACCCUGAAACUGCAUUCGAUACUGCGUGGCUUGAGUGCUGGAGAGGAGACUGGAAUUUACGGUGUAGCAGUGAAAUGCGCAGAUAUCAGGAGGAACACCGGUGGCGAAGGCGGUUCUCUGGGCAUGUCCUGACGCUGAGGAGCGAAAGUGUGGGGAGCGAACAGG